GUUACAAACUCUGGUGCAGUAGGUGGCGGUAUGUACCUUUUUAAGUUGGUUGCGAUCCGCCAAUAAAUCGAGUGAAGAAGAAGGAGAACCAGUUGCCUAGAGACCCGAGGAAGUGUAGCGUCUGCUAGCAUGCUAGGUGAUCUGCUAACACAUGGAUUAUACCAACAGACUGUAUGAUUAUACCAAUAGACUGUAUGAUUAUACUUCAUUAAGAGCAGAUAAAUGCCACCAAAAAGAAGAGGACCACUGCAACUCGUCCAGAGAGAAGUGGACGAAUUAAGAAAACAGGUUGACAGUCUGGUGAAGGAUGUGCGGAGUCACGAUGGAUCCAAUGAGGAGGCAUUUCGAAGGUGUCAAGAGCUGCAGAUAUCAGCAGAGAAAACACAAAGGACGCUGAAUAAUCUGACCAAGGCCGAUGAGCUGGCUCCAGUUGGAAACUAUGAUCAGAGGAAGCAGGAGGAGGAGAGACGACUGCAGAAUCUCCUGGAGCAGAUAAACACCCUCUCUCUGGAACUGUCCCCACCAGGACCCAGUACUACUGCAGGUGAUGAUUCAAAGGGUGAUAGUGAGGAUGAUGAUGAAGAUAGUAGUGAUGAUGAUGACGAUGACGAUGAUGAUGAGGAGAAGGAAGCUGGGAAACCACCCACUCAGUCAGAGCCUCGUCUCUACACUGUUCUCAGUGAUUUCAAAGGAGAACAGGAGGGAGAUCUGUCUGUGCAGAGAGGGGAGGUGUUGACAGUCAUCAAGAGGACAGCAGAUGGAUGGUGGCUGUCUCAGGACAGCAAAGGCAACAGAGGAGUGGUUCCUAAAACCUACCUGAAGACUGGCACUGGUGUUGAUGAUGACAAUGAUGAAGAUGAUGAAGACGAAAAUGAUGAGGAGUCGGAGGACGAGCAAGAUGAUGAUGAUGAACUGACUGACGAUGGAGCGAAAGAAAGUGGUACUUCCAACUGGGGUCCUGUCAAAAAGGCUUUGACUGAGAUUGAUGCCACAGAUGUGCUCUCUGCCAUGGGGGCUAUACCAUCAGGAUUCAGACCAUCAACUCUCAAUAAACUGCUAGUGGAGGAAGGUGAAACAUACAGAGGAAGUCACUACAUUCAGCCAAAACUCAGUGAAUCCAAACUCUCCUUUUGCGACCUCUUCCUUGACCCAGACACUGGCCGGGUUCGAGCUCGUCAGGUCCGGACAUGUGCUUGUUUCUCUCUGUGGAGCUGCAGGAUGAUUCCCACUCCAGGCGUUGGAGUUCAGGUCCUCAGCAGACACAUCCGCAUCUGUGCCUUUGAUGGAACUCAGGUAUUGAGUAAUAUCCACACUGUGAGGGCGACUUACAACUCCAAAAGCCCCAAGACCUGGACCUUUAAUCCAAGGGUAGCAGGUAUCCUACCCACUCUCCUGGAUGGAGACUGUUUCCUACGCUGCAACUCUGCAUCCCCUGACCUCGGUAUCCUCUUUGAACUGGGAGUCACCUUUAUAAGGAAUUCAACAGGUGAGAGAGGAGACCUGAGCUGCGGCUGGGCUUUCCUCAAACUGACCGAUGACUCUGGAAAUCCAAUUCCAUACAGGACCUAUGAUUUGCCAGUGAAUGGGGGCACUCCCUAUGAGAAGGAUGUGGCAAUGGAGGCGACAGUCACUCGAGGAUCUCCAGCAGGUGUUUUCCAGCAGAUGCUGCAAGCCAGGCGGCAGCCCAAACUCAUUGUGAAGAUGAAAUCAGUCAACAACCGAACCAGAACACAGCUCAGCCACCUCCCAGACACUCUGAUGCACAGUCUGAACUGUGUCCACCUGCUGGCGAUACACAGGCAGCUGCUGGCUGAUGCCCUCCUAUUGGACAGGCCAACCAUGCAGAAUGCAGAUCCAAUAUGCAGUCCUAUACUUGCUACCUUCCCAAAGCUGUUAGACCAACCAGACCUGCUGGAUGCUCUCAGGAGUGCAUGGCUGGGUGCUGAGACCACCAUGACAAGGGCACAGAAGAGAGACUUGUGCUAUUUAAAACAGGAGUUCAGGAAAGUCUACAUGUUCGCCUAUUUCCUCCUCCACUCGCCUUCGCUGCCCUGCUAUCGCUGGGCGGACCCGCCUUCAGAGGAGCAGCGGGCCAGAGUUAUCUUCUCCACCCUGGAAGCUUUCAAACACAACCAGCAAACCGCCAGCCAAUCAGGAGGGACAGAGCUCUUUAUGGACCCCACACAUCAGCACCUCGCCUUUGAUGUCACAGAGUUAACCUUUGACCUCCUCCAAGUGGUGCGGUGACAUCACAUCUCUUGUAGAGGAGCCAGGUAUAAAAGAAGGAGAGCAGUGAGAGGCUGGACCAGUCUGGGUUCAGAGAGGCUGGAUUAUCCUUCAGUUGUGGUUUCACAUCGAUGGUAACAAGUAUUAUCAGGGUGGAUCAUUGUGUCUGAGAAGGAGGAAGAGAAGGGGGGGAGCAGAGCAGGUCAGGACCAGUUGAGCAGAAAAUGGGAGUUUCCAGAGAAGAUGGAAAGAUGAUCCAAGAGAGCAAGAAAAGUUUUUUUUCUUUUUCAUCAGAAAAAAAACACAGUAGAUCCAUUACAAGAUUCAUCAAAGCAAAUAAAGAAAUUAAGACCAGAAGACUGCUCCAGGUAAACAUGAAAA